rnacentral:lncRNA from 1 species
AUGACAAGGCUACCAAUGCACACCAUCCUCCCAGGCUUGAGGCUUGAGGUCCUGAACAGUGACCACCAGGCACAAGUGGAAAUGUCGGCACCUCCGGAGAGAGGAAGAUUUUUGUGUAUUCUAGACAGCUUUAGGUCACAUUGUAUACAUUUCUUUGUAAUUCAAUUCAACAAGCAUUUAAUGACAAUUUACCAUGUGCCAUCCACUAUACCAGAUAAUGCAGACAAAAUAGAAGUUAAAAAAUACUUCCUGUCUUUGUGAAGCAGACAACCUAUUACUGUCAGAAGCUGGCCCUCAGGGAGUUCUAGUUUACAUUUAGAAAAGUCCAGUUUGGCUAAAUACCUUUUUUUUUUUUCCAGGAAUGAUAGCAGAAUUUUCCUGUAUACAAAGUUUGAGGAUACAAGCAAAUGUUUAUAUUGAAACUAAAAUAGUAUGACUCAUAUUUUUCCAAAAAGCAGAUAAUUUGAAAAAUAGCCAUUUAUUGGAUCUAGAUACAAAAGGCAUCAGAAUUAAUUAUAGCCCUGGUUUGUACAAAUAUGGGUUGAUAAUGUGUCAAUCAAAUGUUACAAGUACAGGUAUUAAAAUGGCCAGUAAAACUAAUUUAUCUAAUAUGUACUGGCAUAGUACUAAAAUUACAGACUGGAAAUUCUGCCAUGAAUCAAUGACAACUAAGGUAUGUGUUGUGUAAAGUGAGAAUUCUUUACAACUUCUGGUCCCACAGUUAAGUAUAUUAGUCUAACUGCUCAAAAGGGGUCAAACUAGACUUCUGAAAUUUAUAGAGUAUUUUAUGUUGUUCCUAAAUGGUUUUGGCUAUGGUCUGUCUAACUCAUUAUGCACAUACAUAUAUAUGUAUAUUUUUUAUUUCUUUAAAAUAUACCACUUUAUUCACUGUUUUUCUCUGUAUGACAAUUUUUUUAGUUGCAGGACUUCAUAGCCACGAUGGCAAAGUCUCCACUGUUAACUGCUAGUUUAUGCUAGCACUGUUUAUACACUAGUAGAGCUAAAUUCCAAUAUAUAUUUGAAAGUAGAACCCUACAUGUUAAAUUUGGUCUGCUUACUAUCUGCUUGCUGAUAGUAUCAAUAAUCACAGGGUCUAAAAAGCAUGGCAAUAAAAAACAGAAAAUUUCUGCUGGCUUUAUUCUG